rnacentral:rRNA from 1 species
CAUGCAGUCGAGCGGACAGAUGGGAGCUUGCUCCCUGAUGUUAGCGGCGGACGGGUGAGUAACACGUGGGUAACCUGCCUGUAAGACUGGGAUAACUCCGGGAAACCGGGGCUAAUACCGGAUGGUUGUUUGAACCGCAUGGUUCAGACAUAAAAGGUGGCUUCGGCUACCACUUACAGAUGGACCCGCGGCGCAUUAGCUAGUUGGUGAGGUAACGGCUCACCAAAGCGCCAAUGCGUAGCCAACCUGAGAGGGUGAUCGGCCACACUGGGAGUGAGACGUGGCCCGGAC